UACGAAGGGUACGGGCGUUGUCCGGAAUUACUGGGCGUAAAGAGCUCGUAGGUGGUUUGUCGCGUUGUUCGUGAAAACUCACAGCUUAACUGUGGGCGUGCGGGCGAUACGGGCAGACUGGAGUACUGCAGGGGAGACUGGAAUUCCUGGUGUAGCGGUGGAAUGCGCAGAUAUCAGGAGGAACACCGGUGGCGAAGGCGGGUCUCGGGGCAGUAACUGACGCUGAGGAGCGAAAGCGUGGGGAGCGAACAGG
rnacentral:rRNA from 1 species